rnacentral:lncRNA from 1 species
CGCACCCUAGCAACAUUGCCGGGAUCACCAAAUGCAUUGUGCUCGGUGUGAAAGAAGUUGCUUUCCUUAGCCAAGUCAACACAUAAACUAUGUAACAAGUCAUGUAUGCGACAACUUGAAAUUCUUCCAUCAUAUGUCCUUUUGGCAACUUGAAUCAUGUUUCUUGAAACCAAAUCAUUUAGGACAUCAUCCGCCACACUUUCAGCCUCUCGCCCAUUGCCACUAUUUACAACUAUCAACUUCUCAGCAAUCCACAUAUUUGUCAAAUCAAAAGCACGAAUUUCAUGAUCCUCGGGGUAAAGGCCAAAAUACAAGAAACAUGGCCUUAAUGCAAUUGGCAAAUCAUUGUAACUCAGAGCCAAUACCUUAGCACAUCCAUCUUGAACUUUAUGGCUCAUACUCUCAAGUACUCUGUUCCAUGCACGUUCUGUUCUUUCUCUUGCCCUUAACAUGCCUGCGGUCACCUCAAUGGCUAGAGGUAUACCUCCACAUCUCCCAACUAUAUUUCUACCAAUAUCUACCAACUCUGGUGAAGCAUUGGCCCAAUUAUUAUUGUUAUCAAAAAUAAAGAUUUUCUUGGUAAAGAGUUCAAAACUGUUCUCCGAAUUUAGAGGUUGCAACACGUGAAUUGAGAAAUCCCCUCCUAUAUAUCUGACUACAUUACUAUUUCGAGAGGUUAUAAUUAUCCUACUGCCAAUUUUUGAAUCACAUUCAGGAAAGACAAGUUUUAGAUCAUCCCAAAUUUCAACAUCCCAAAUGUCAUCUAAGAGGAUAACAUACCUUUUUAUUUUCAAGAGUGACCGUAGGUUGUUCUCCAAGUUUUCUUUCCUUUCAUCUUCCGUCAGUCCAACUUGUUUGGCUAUGUCCUGUAAGAUUUCUCCCGCCCUUGGCUGUUGUGAAACGUAGACCAGUCCCCGAACACUCAAAUUGAUGACGGACAUGCCUAUAAAGUUUCUUGGCAAGAGUUGUUUUUCCCAAUCCGGGCAUGCCAACUAUUGAAACAACUCCAUAAGGCAAAUCUUGAUCAAGUAAUUUGGCUUGUAGCAUUUUGAAGUCAUCAUCCAAACCGAUGACCUCUGUUCAUCAGCAUGAAGGAAUAAUCUUCUCUUGGUCCAAUGGAAUGCAAUCAUCAUUAUUGUUGUUACUUGUAUCCAUGAUGUUGUAAGUUGUCCUUACACGGUCAAUAUCAGCAACUCUCUUUUUAUCUUCUCAAUCUCCAUAGCAAACUCAUCGGCAAAAGAAACCGUCUUAAGGCAACAAAUGAACUUAUUGGAUUGUUGAAUUUUUGGAAGAAACUCAUCUAAUAGAUCCUCCACAUCACCUGCCAGUUGUUGAAUAUCUUUUAAUAAGUUUUUGACCCUUGAAUCGCCUCCAACUUCCUUGGCCUUUGCAUCGUCUACAUAUGAUCGAAUGUGUCUCAUUUCUCUCUGGAGCCAAUCGAUGUCUUCUUUCAACCAAUAUAAACGCGUUCCUUGUUGAAAGAGUAGAUUUCCAGCUAUUUCUACAGAUUUAUUGAUGACUGCUGUAAGAAGAAUUUCAGCCAUUUCUUUUUCAGUAGCUACAAAAAACUGAUCAGAAUGAUUAAUUAGGAAAAGUAAGAAAAAGAAGAUCAGCUUAUACUAUAUAUUUGCUUUUGCUUUUUAGUGAUAGCUGGAGUCCAUGGCAAAGUCUCCUAAUAAUGUCAAGUAAAGGUGGGGCAGCUGCACACGAAUCAAAAAGGAGAAAUACAUUAUACUCUCAUCUUAUUAUAACAAUCAUUUUCGGUAACAAUAUAUUUUUUUUCUUUUUUUUAAAGAACUAUUGUUAUAUUAUAAGUGGUUUUUUUUAUAUAUACAUUAUACUAUAAACAUUUCAGGACAAACGACUUCCUUUAUAAAGGUUUGAUUGUAUGAGUACGUAGCAAAAAAAAUUUGAAAGCAUCAAAUCGCAUAAAAACCUAAAAAUUCAUGGAACAUACAAAUUGAGUCUUAUAAUAGCCCAAAUUGGGUAAAGUUUUGCAAGGGACGGACGGAAUAAUUUAUUUUCACUAUUCUACUGGCAUCUUAUCUACUGCAUGUGCGUCCUACUGUGGACUCCAACAAUAAAGCAAAUAGUUGAUCACUUCAGACUUAUUCCAUCAACUAUUUGAAUACAGUGAUAUUUCAAAAAGAAAAUAGUAAAUAAUUGAGAGAAGUAUUGAAAACGUACCCCUCUAAAUUUGGUGUCAAUUAUUAGUUUUAUCUUUGAACUAUUGACAAUUUUAAAAACAUAUUUUUACUUGACUAACUGAACUUACAAGUUACAUAUAGCCCAAUCUUGCAAUAUGAGUGAAAUACACCCUUAAAUUUUCGUCAAGUUUAGGAGUAUUUUAAUUUCAACACUUAUCUCGAUUUUUUAUUAAGAGUAUUAUGCUUCUAUAAGAGUUUGAGACCACUUGUCAUGUAACUGAUCGGGGCGUUCGGCGGUUUCGUUGCGCUGUAGUGGAUUUGAGUUAUAAAUCUUUAAGUAAAAGUAGCUAUACAUUAUGUAUCGAUCUACUAUUCAUUGUAAUUAAUUAGACAUGAACUAAGUAACAAACAAAAAUUAGUUUAUCGAGGAUAUUAAACGUAAAUAAUUAUAGUGGCCACUAACCUGUAGACACAUUGAUAUUAAACGUAAAUAUUCAAUGAAUUUUUAACAUAAAUAUAUGAUUUUAGCUAAUAUUAUUAAAUUUUAUUGAACACAUAGCUAGAAUUCUAACUUUGAUUGUGUGAGAUUUUUAGUUUUUGCAGAAUUUUUUAGCAAACAAAAGUCAUUAUUAGGAAGGCCAGCUCCUUAUGAUACCUUGUAAGAUGGAUUUUUUAAACUUUUAUGUUGAAAUCUUUUAUAGUUUGGGGAUGAAAUGUGUAGAAAUUUUAUUCUUUAAAGAUGUAUACCUUGUGUUUGACAUAAAUAAAACCAAAACACACAUAAACAAAAAAUUGAUUAAAGUAUACUUGUAUUUUUAUUUUUAUUUCAAAUUAUUGAAUGUUGGAGUUAUAAUCAGGAGUCUGGUCAUGACCAAUUCUACACCUUAAAAUGAAAUGUAAAUAUAGUCCUACAAAUUAUAAACUCAACAAAUAUUGGGGUCGAUUCCAUGAAGAGUGUGUGCAUGUGUCAAUGUGUCCAAAAGUGUGUAUUUGUGAAUUUCCUAAAUUUUGUGUGCGUGUGUAAUUAAACAAUUUAUUUACUACUAGUUCUAACUAUUCCCUCCAUUUCAUAUUAAUUUAAUUUUUAAGGUAUUUUUUAUUUUUUAAAUUAAUUUAAUUGUUCAGUUUUCAAAACUACUUUUAGAGUGUUCUUCCAAUUUUACCCUUCAUUAGUUAGUAUUGGAAUUAGCGAUUAAUUAAUAUUUAGUUAUUUUAAUCAUAAAUUUGAUAAUAAUUAAUAAGGGUAAAAAUAGAAAACUAUAUUCAAUUUAUGUCUUAAUCUACUUUUUUUAAAGGGUGUAAAACACCUCAAAAUUAAAUUAAUAUGAAAUGGAGGGAGUAUUUUGUAAUAAUCAAAUAUAAAUUAAAGCAAAAAAGAAAAAGAAAAAUAGUAGGUGUACCUGAUAGGUUGGAAUUUGGCUGAUGCAGUUCCUUGAUUGGAGUAAAUAUUAAUUAUAAGUGUUUUUUUUUUCAAAAGAUGGAAAUUGACAAAUUAACCAAGCACCUCAAUUCUAUUUAUAAGUAUCUUUUAAAAAAAUAUAUAUAUUAGUUCAAUACUUGAAUUGAAUGUGAGGGUAAGAUGGGUCAUAAUUUCCAAAUUAUUCUUUACUUGAAACAAUAUAUAGGCAUCUUACCUUUUUUCUCAUGAAAAAGCAAAAGGAAAGUAUAAUGUUGGAGAAUUAAAAAAAUAAUAAUCAUGUUUUCACUUUUGUCUGGAUGUAAAUGUUACAAAAGAAAUAAAUGAAUAUUUCAAACGGAAGUAUUUUUCGUGAAGAACUCUUUUUUUUCCACUUUAGUUGUAACUAUUCAUUCUAUAGUUCUAUUCCAUAUUAGUUGAUCAUUUUAUUAAAAAAUAUAAUUGUCCAUUUUUAUAAAUUAAGAAAGCAUUAAUUAAUUUUUUUCCUAUAUUAUUCAUGCAAUUAAUUCUUUUUUUAAAUGUUCAUAUUUGUUUGUUAAAUUUCCAAUAAAAAAUUUCAGAGAUGAAUCAAUAAACUGAACUUCUUAUUUAUGAUUUCUUGAUAUGCUUGUAAAAAGGAAAAUGAUCAACUGAGAUCGGGAGAGUAAUAAAAUAACUUGCAAUUCGCGUGAUAGUGAAGAAAAUUAUAUACAUUCCCUUUAUUAAAGAAAAUACUUUAAAAAGGAAAAGUAAUACUUUCAAUUAUUUUACAAAUAUAUUUUAUUAAAUAAUCUAUAAUAUACAAAAUAAAUAUUAUGAUUUUUAAUUGAGAAAGGUAACGAUCACCAAUAAUGAAGAAAAAAAGUACUACAAUUACUACUUGAGAAAUAUCAUUACACUAAUAAUAAAAAUAUGAUUUAAAGUAAAAAAGUUUCAAAAAAUAAUAAUAAUAUCUGAAGCCUACACGUGAAGUGAGGAAUCUCCUCCUAUGUAUCUGCCUACAUUACUAUUUCGAGAUGUGAUUAUUAUCCUACUGCCAAUUUUUGAGUCAGGAAGGAAAAAAUUCAGAUAAUUCCAAAUUUCAACAUCCCAAAUGUCAUCUAAGAGGAUAACACACCUUUUUCUUUGCAAGAGUGAGCUUAGGUUGCCUUCCAAGUUCUCUUUCCUUUCCUGUUCCGUCAGUCCAACUUGUUUGGCAAUGUCCUGUAAGAUUUCUCCUGCCCUUGCCUGCUGUGAAACAUAGACCAAUCCUGAACAUUCAAAUUGAUGACGGACAUGCCUAUAAAGUUUCUUGGCAAGAGUUGUUUUUCCUAAACCGGGCAUGCCAACUAUUGAAACAACUCCAUAAGGCAAAUCAUGAUCAAGUAAUUUGGCUUGUAGCUUAUUGAAGUCAUCAUCCAAACUGAUGACCUCUAUUUCAUCAGCAUGAAGGAAUAAUCUUCUCUGGUCCAACGGAAUGCAAUCAUUAUUGUUGUUACUUGUAUCCAUGAUGCAUGUUAUAAGUUGUCCUUACACGAUCAAUACCCGCAACCCUUCGGCAAAAGAAACUGUCUUAAAGCAACAAAUGAACUUAUUGGAUUGUUGAAUUUUUGGAAGGAACUCAUCAAAGAGAUCCUCCACAUCACUUGCGAGUUGUUGAAUAUCUUUUAAUAAAUUUUUGACCCUUGAAUCGCCUCCAACUUCCUUGGCCUUUGCAUCGUCCACAUAUGAUUGAAUGUGUCUCAUUUCUCUCUGGAGCCAAUCGAUGUCCUCUUUCAACCAAUAUAAACGCGUUCCUUCUUGCACGAGUAGAUUUCCAGCUAUUUCUACAGAUUUAUUGAUGACUGCUGUGAGAAGAAUUUCAGCCAUUUUUUGUCUUUCUUUUUCAGUAUCAACAAAAAACUGAGUAUGAGUAAUUAGGAAAAGUAGGAAAAAAAGACGAUCAGUAUACUGUUUGCUUUUGCAUUUUAGUGAUAGCUGGAGUCCUAAUAAUGCCAAGUAAAUGAUAAACAAAAGAAACAAGAAAGGUGGGGCAGCUGCACACUAAUGGAAAAGGAGAAAUACAUUAUACUCUCAUCUUACUAUUAUACUCUAACAAUCAUUCUUGAUAACAAUAUAAUUUUUUCCUUUUUAAAAAAACUAAUGUAAUAUUAUAGUGUAUUAUAAGUGUUUUUUUUUAAAUAUCGUGUAAUUGAUUAGUUAUACUAAGAUGUUUACUUAGUUAUGUAGUUUUUUCGGAAAAAAAAAGUAUAUUAUCAAUCGGCCACAAAAAAUAAAAAAACUUAAAUUGGGACGGGCGGAAUAAUUUCUUUUCACUAUUCUACUGACAUCUUAUCCACUGCAUGUGUUGUCCUUAUUGUGGACUCCAACAAUAAAGCAAAUAGUUUAUCACUUUAGACUUAUUCCAUCAACUAUUUGAAAUUUCAAUUCACAAUUUUUGAAUAAAGUGAUAUUUCAAAAAGAUAAUAAAUAAUUGAGAGAACUAUUGAAAACGUACCCCUCUAAAUUUGGUGUCAAUUAUUAGUUUCAUUUUUGAACUAUUGACAAUCUUAAAAACAUUAUUUUACUUGACUAAUUGAACUUACAUACACACCGAUCUUACAACGUGAGUGAAAUACACCCUUAAAUUUUCGUCAAGUUUAGGAGUAUUUUAAUUUCAACACUUAUCUCGACUUUUUAUUAAGAGCAUUAUGUUUCUAUAAGAGUUUGAGACCACUUGCUAUGUCAUGUGACUGAUCGGGGUGUUCAGCGGUUUAGUUAGUCAAGUAGAGGGAUGGUUUUUAGACUGUCAAUAAUUUGUAGAUGAAACUAAUAAUAUUUUUUUCGAAUUUAUACCACUAAACAAAGAGUCUAGCCAUUUUUCUAAUAAUGUGCACUAAGUUUAAGGUGUUUUUCUAUACUUCUCUCUAAAUAAUUUUCAUAAUCAAACAUGAUGUUAAAAUAACUUUCUCAAUCUUGACAAUUGCUUAUUUACAAACUAUUAUGAAUUCGCCACUAUGGUAGACACACUGCUACCAAAACAAGAGGAUGCAUGUUGUACAUUAAUUCCAAAAACACCCUCUUCAAAAAGCAAGGUACAACACCUCUAAGCAGUAAAAUUACUCUCGAGUCCCUUACUAUUUGGAGCUAUUAAGCACAUAUAUAUUUUUUUUCACUCUGAAAAAGUCGAAAUAUAUACCCUUUGUCCUUGUGAUUAGCUUCAUAAUGUUUCAGAUAAAUAUAGAAGCUAUAUUUAUUGUGUCGCGUAAUUUAUUACUCCCUCCAUCUCAAUUUAUGUGAGAUAGUUUGAUUUGGUACGAAGUUUAAGAAAGAAAUGAAGACUUUUAAAAUUUGUGGUUCAAAAUGAAUUAUAUAAAUUUGUGUGGCUGUAAAUCAUUUCAUUAACGGUAAAGUAGACAUUUCAUAGUUAAAUUGUUACUUACUCCCUCCGUCCCAUUUUAUGUGGCAACAUUUUGACCCCGGCACGGGAGUUUAAGAAAUAAAUGAAGACUUUGAAAUAUUUACCAAAUUGCCCUUUAAAAAGUAGACUCACUUUUCUCUCUCCUCAUAAAUGUAUUGGAGUAUUAUUUUAAGAUUAAGUGAGACCAACAAGGGUAAAAGAGGAGUUGUACCUUUAAAUACUUACCAUAUAAGGAAAUGUGACAUUCUUUUUGGGACUGACCAAAAAGGAAAUGGUGCCACAUAAAAUGGGACGGAGGGAGUAAUAUAAAAAUGUGUCAUUCUCUUUUGGACAGAUCAAAAAGGAAAGUAAGUCACAUAAAUUGAUAUGGAGGGAGUAUUUAUCCAUCCAUUAUUCUCAUAAAAAUAUAAUUUGUUUAAUAUUACUAAAUCAAAAAUAACUUUUAACGGCAAUAUAUAUAUAUACAACAUUAUCAUCUUAGAGCUAUUAGCAAAGAUCGUAGGAAAUAUGUGUUCAAUGUCAGCAAGACCUCUAUUAAUUAAACACAUUUGGAGAGAGAUGAACCAAUGUGCCGAUUUUCUGGCAAACGAAGAGCACAAGCAUAAUGAAAAUUUGAUAGUAGCCACUAACCUGUAGACACAUUGAUAUUAAACGUAAAUAUUCAAUGAAUUUUGAACAUAAAUAUUUGAUUUUAGCUAAAAUUAUUAAAUUUUAUUGAACACGUAGCUAGAAUUCUAACUUUGAUUGUGUGAGAUUUUUAGUUUUUGCAGAAUUUUUUAGCAAACAAAAGUGUCAUUAUAAGGAAGGCCAGCUGCUUAUGAUACCUUGUAAGAUGAAUUUUAAAAAAAAUUAUGUGGAAAUCUUUUAUAGUUUGGGGAUGAAAUGUGUAGAAAUUUUAAUUCUUUUAAAGAUGUAUACCUUGUGUUUGACAUAAAUAAAACCAAAACACAUAAAUAAAAAUUUGAUUAAAGUAUACUUGUAUUUUAUUUUUUUCAAAUUAUUGAAUGCUGGAGUUAUACUCUGGAGUUUGGUCAUGACCAAUUCUACACCUUAAAAUGAAAUGUAAAUACAGUCGUACCAAUUAUAAACCCAACAAAUAUUGGGGUCGAUUCCAUGAAGAGCGUGUGCAUGUGUCAAGGUGUCCAAAAGUGUGUAUUUGUAAAUUUUCUAACCUUGGACUUUUAUUGAUCCACACAGAAAAAAAAAAAACCCAAAACCCAAGAAUUGGGUCAAUAGUUUUUAAUGGUUUUAUAAAAAAAUUAUUGGAUUAUCGGUUCGGUUUUGACCUUUUAUAAUGGGUUAUUGGGUAUACUGAUAACCCAAUAAGAUUAUAGUAAUAUAGUACUUUACGCUUACAUAAAUAUUAAAUAUUAAUCUCAAUACCUUACUAGUUAGUACAUUUGUCCUAUAGCCUUAGCUUCAAACUUCAUAGUGACUUUGAGUUCAAAACUUCACAUUAUACAAAACGUCAAAAUAUAAAGUAAGAACAUUAUUCCUAUUAAUUUCUCUUUGUGUUACACUUGUAUAGUUCUCUCAAUGUUAAUUAUUAUUAUUUCUAUUUUAUGAGCAUUUGUUAGAGAAGUCAUAUAUUUAUUUUAUAAGCAUUUUCUUAUUGGUUAAACCAAUUGAUAGAUAAACCAUAACCAAAAACCGAUAAAAUGAAAUGACAAUACAUAAAAUUGACCCGAAUCGAUCGAUGCAAAGCCAUAACUUAUAUUGUAAACUUUGAUUCUUGAAGAAGAAAAUAAACUAAAGCUACUAAUUCCAAAGUAAAUAUACAUAAGACAAUAAAUAAAUCUUUUAUAAAUCACAAGCCACAAAUACGUCAACUUCAUGAAGCAAUCAAACAUUUAAUUUAUUUAUUUCAAAUACAAACAGGCAUCAGAAGAUGCUCUCCAGCAAAGACUUAAUCAUUCUCAAAUGCAUCUGCAAUUUAUUAGACAUAAAAUAUUAAGUUGAUGAAUUAAUUAAUAAAAAAUGAGCUUAUUCAGAGAUAUUAAAAGUAAAUAAUUAACCUGUUGACACAUUGGGAUUUUCAUACUCUCAGCUUUGCAAGACGUUCCGAGAGCCUAACGUCGGAAGUGGUAUCUAUACGUAAAAAUAGCUUUUUCAAUUUAGGCAUAAUCAUAUCAUCCCUGCAACUUACUUCAGACAACCCACAUGCAUACUCAAUAUGCAAAACUUCAAGUUGCGGAAAGCUAUCACCAUCACCACAGAGAUCCAUCUUUUCUUCAUUAUGUUUGCACCAAAGCAUUUUAAGUAUCCUUAAUUUGGGCAAUUUCUUAAGCACUGCCACUACAUGACCGUCUACCUCCAAGUUGUGAAGAGUAAGCUUGACAACAUUUGGAGGGAAUGCUUCACAGUUCAAGCGCAUUGUUCUGCAAAUUCUCAAAUGCAACUUAACAAUAUUUGGAUAGGACGACAAGUUUAUUUUCUCACUCAUCAUGUACCUCAAAAAUCUGAGCUUCAAAACCUCCAGCGCCUUUGGCACAGGGCUCAAUGUUGAUAAUAUCUUAACCGUAGAACCAUAUGAGCACUCUAUACCCAGUUUUCUUAUAUUGAUCAAUCGGUGCAACAAUCUCGGUUCAAAAAAAUUAUAAUCAUCCAUCCACAUCAAAGUUUGUAGAUUAUUAGGAGGCAAUGAUGAGUACACAUUUGGAAAAAAUGGGAUUAUAGAAAAGCAAUACAUACAUACUUUAUCGAAAGAUUUAUAACGAAGAUGUCUCAAUUGUGUAGACUUCAAAACACCAGUAGGAAGAUCAAUGAAGCUUUUACCAAUAUCUAGGGUCUCUAGAUGUUUGAGCUUCAACAUACAAUUCGGCAGUUUCCCAUAAAUAUCCCCCUCCAAUCGAAGAUAGCGUAAGCAACUCAUGUUUCCAAACGUGUUUGGGACACCACAACAAUCAUAAUAGGACAUGACUACAACCAACACUUGCAAUAAUUUGAAAUCAAGAUGAGCCAGUUGAGAAAAUAUGCAAGGGUCUGUUGUGAAACAGAAAAGUGCACGAAGCUUCUUAGGCUUAGGAUUUGAACGAAAGAACUCAUUCAUGGCAUUAUUAUCCGAGUAGAAUGUAAUUCUUCGCACCCUAGCAACAUUGCCGGGAUCACCAAAUGCAUUGUGCUCGGUGUGAAAGAAGCUACUUUCCUUAGCCAAGUCCACACACAAACUAUGUAACAAGUCAUGUAUGCGACAACUUGAAAUUCUUCCAUCAUAUGUCCUUUUGGCAACUUGAAUCAAGUUUCUAGAAACCAAAUCAUUUAGAAUAUCCUCAGCCAAACUUUCAG